UGGGGAAUUUUGGACAAUGGGCGAAAGCCUGAUCCAGCAAUGCCGCGUGUGUGAAGAAGGCCUUCGGGUUGUAAGGCACUUUUGUCCGGAAAGAAAUCCUCUGGGUUAAUACCUCGGGGGGAUGACGGUACCGGAAGAAUAAGCACCGGCUAACUACGUGCCAGCAGCCGCGGUAAUACGUAGGGUGCAAGCGUUAAUCGGAAUUACUGGGCGUAAAGCGUGCGCAGGCGGUUUGCUAAGACCGAUGUGAAAUCCCCGGGCUCAACCUGGGAACUGCAUUGGUGACUGGCAGGCUAGAGUAUGGCAGAGGGGGGUAGAAUUCCACGUGUAGCAGUGAAAUGCGUAGAGAUGUGGAGGAAUACCGAUGGCGAAGGCAGCCCCCUGGGCCAAUACUGACGCUCAUGCACGAAAGCGUGGGGAGCAAACAGGAUUAGAUACCCUGGUAGUCCACGCCCUAAACGAUGUCAACUAGUUGUUGGGGAUUCAUUUCCUUAGUAACGUAGCUAACGCGUGAAGUUGACCGCCUGGGGAGUACGGUCGCAAGAUUAAAACUCAAAUGAAUUGACGGGGUCAUAGCUGUUUCCU
rnacentral:rRNA from 1 species